rnacentral:rRNA from 1 species
UAGGGAAUCUUCGGCAAUGGGGGGAACCCUGACCGAGCAACGCCGCGUGAGUGAAGAAGGUUUUUGGAUCGUAAAGCUCUGUUGUUAAGGAAGAACGAGUGUGAGAAUGGAAAGUUCAUGCUGUGACGGUACUUAACCAGAAAGGGACGGCUAACUACGUGCCAGCAGCCGCGGUAAUACGUAGGUCCCGAGCGUUGUCCGGAUUUAUUGGGCGUAAAGCGAGCGCAGGCGGUUAGAAAAGUCUGAAGUUAAAGGCAGUGGCUCAACCAUUGUAGGCUUUGGAAACUGUUUAACUUGAGUGCAGAAGGGGAGAGUGGAAUUCCAUGUGUAGCGGUGAAAUGCGUAGAUAUAUGGAGGAACACCGGUGGCGAAAGCGGCUCUCUGGUCUGUAACUGACGCUGAGGCUCGAAAGCGUGGGGAGCGAACAGG